ensembl:lncRNA
CGAUUCGUGUUUACUUCGAGUAUAGGACUUUAGCCGGAUUAAGGUAAUCAAAAAUGUCUUUUUACAUGGUAGAUUCUUAAUAAACGUAAUGAUUGUUGGUUUAAAUAUGACCGAUAUCAGAUUUCCAGUGUGAACAGUGUGAACAGUGGACUCAGCGGAGGCCUGAGAGACGCGGACUGCAGCUGUAAUUUACCUGCUGGUGUCGCUGUUGGACAAUUUUUUUCUUUAGAAAAACAAGCGAUUUAUACGCUUUGUCAUAUUUUGUAAUAUUUGCGUUGUUUUAUUUUUAGUAUUAUGAAUUUGUUUCUCAUCCAAUAUUUUUUGCAUUGAACUCUUUGCCUCAGAGAAAACGGCCAUGGCUUAGAGAUGGGCUGAUAAUAGUGCUCACAAAAAAUGAUUUAGCUUGUCAUUGUAAUCAAGGCCUCUUUGCAAAUGGGACCCAAUUCCCUUUAGUAGUUUGCGUGUUUUCACUGAUGGUGUUUUGGUCUGUUUGAUUGAAGAGAGCUCUGUAAGCAGCUUUGAACAGAUUGAUGAGCCAGCUGCUGACAAGUCUUCAUUGCUGAUGCCUGUUAAACUCGUUCCAAGGUCAAGAGGUAGAGGUGGUCAUUUUGUUCCAAACCCAAAAGUCUUCGAUAAAAAAGACUGGUUCGCAAACACAGCACGUGCACAAAUAUAAGAGACAGGAUUUUUUGCAUGAAUCAAUCACAGCCGACUACGACAAGUCAUAUCCAAUCAUAUUGCAAUGGAAGCAUGCCUCCUUUCAUGUGACUUUCCCCCAUUCAUUCUCAAUUACCCCCGGACCAAAGAGAGGCUUCACACUGUGAGCCUUAGUGCUCAAUUUUGAUUUUUGCAGUGUAUAACACUGGUGGGAGAUAGAAAUCUGAUUAUUUAUUAAAUUUAUUUUAUUCAUAUUGUGAGAGUGACUGUUUUUUAUGGGUUGUUAGUGUAUUACAUCUGUUUUUCAUUGAUGGAUUUUGUUUGUAGUGAUGUAUAUUUCACAAUAAAGCACUGUAGAUAUUGUUAGUUGGUUUCUAU